CUAGAGCUUCCCAGGGAUCCCCCUCCCUCCCACCACCCCAGAACUGGCAGAAAGGAAGAGGACCAUCCGGUCAGAAACCAGCUAAGUGGUCUCAAGGAACUGUUCCGGCACCCAUCAGGUGGGAUAGCACCAAGGAUCCGGAUGGAGGAAGAGGCCUGGAAACCCACACGGCCCAACAGCAAGUUUUCUAGCAGUUGGAGAUGAAAAUGUCGCCCCAAAGCCCAAGCUCAAGGACACGUGGCCCCCUCUCCUCCUCACCCUGAACCUCCAAUCCUGUUUCCACUUGGGGAGUCACCUGGUCUUCAAGUGCCCCCUGAGGCACAUUAGCCUUUCAAUAAAGCCUUUAACCUCUG